rnacentral:rRNA from 1 species
GACGAACGCUGGCGGCGUGCUUAACACAUGCAAGUCGAACGGAAAGGCCCUGCUUUUGUGGGGUGCUCGAGUGGCGAACGGGUGAGUAACACGUGAGUAACCUGCCCUUGACUUUGGGAUAACUUCAGGAAACUGGGGCUAAUACCGGAUAGGAGCUCCUGCUGCAUGGUGGGGGUUGGAAAGUUUCGGCGGUUGGGGAUGGACUCGCGGCUUAGCAGCUUGUUGGUGGGGUAGUGGCUUACCAAGGCUUUGACGGGUAGCCGGCCUGGGAGGGUGACCGGCCACAUUGGGACUGAGAUACGGCCCAGGCUCCUACGGGAGACAGCAGUGGGGAAUAUUGCACAAUGGGCGGGAGCCUGAUGCAGCGACGCCGCGUGCGGGAUGACGGCCUUCGGGUUGUAAACCGCUUUCGCCUGUGACGAAGCGUGAGUGACGGUAAUGGGUAAAGAAGCACCGGCUAACUACGUG